GAUGAACGCUAGCUACAGGCUUAACACAUGCAAGUCGAGGGGAAACGAUAGAGAAAGCUUGCUUUUUCUAGGCGUCGACCGGCGCACGGGUGAGUAACGCGUAUCCAACCUGCCCACCACUUGGGGAUAACCUUGCGAAGGUAAGACUAAUACCCAAUGACGUCCAUAGAAGACAUCUGAAAUGGAUUAAAGAUUUAUCGGUGAUGGAUGGGGAUGCGUCUGAUUAGCGUGUUGGCGGGGUAACGGCCCACCAAGGCGACGAUCAGUAGGGGUUCUGAGAGGAAGGGCCCCCACAUUGGAACUGCGACACGGGCCAAACUCAUACGGGAGGCAGCAGUGAGAAAUAUUGGUCAAUGGGCGAGAGCCUGAACCAUCCAAGUAGCGUGCAGGAUGACGGCCCUAUGGGUUGUAAACUGCUUUUAUAAGGGAAUAGAGUGAGUCUCGUGAGACUUUUUGCAUGUACCUUAUGAAUAAGGACCGGCUAAUUCCGUGCCAGCCGCCGCAGUAA
rnacentral:rRNA from 1 species